GAUCCUGGCUCAGAGUGAACGCUGGCGGCGUGCCUAAUACAUGCAAGUCGAACGGACAAGUAAGAGCUUGCUCUUAUGAGUUAGUGGCGCACGGGUGAGUAAUGUAUAGCUAAUCUGCCCUACACUAGAGGACAACAGUUGGAAACGACUGCUAAUACUCUAUACUCCUCUCUAACAUAAGUUAGAUAGGGAAAGUUUUUUCGGUGUAGGAUGAGGCUAUAUUGUAUCAG
rnacentral:rRNA from 1 species